rnacentral:rRNA from 1 species
AUUGAACGCUGGCGGCAGGCCUAACACAUGCCAGUCGAGCGGAUGAAGGGAGCUUGCUCCUGGAUUCAGCGGCGGACGGGUGAGUAAUGCCUAGGAAUCUGCCUGGUAGUGGGGGAUAACGUCCGGAAACGGGCGCUAAUACCGCAUACGUCCUGAGGGAGAAAGUGGGGGAUCUUCGGACCUCACGCUAUCAGAUGAGCCUAGGUCGGAUUAGCUAGUUGGUGGGGUAAAGGCCUACCAAGGCGACGAUCCGUAACUGGUCUGAGAGGAUGAUCAGUCACACUGGAACUGAGACACGGUCCAGACUCCUACGGGAGGCAGCAGUUGGGAAUAUUGGACAAUGGGCGAAAGCCUGAUCCAGCCAUGCCGCGUGUGUGAAGAAGGUCUUCGGAUUGUAAAGCACUUUAAGUUGGGAGGAAGGGCAGUAAGUUAAUACCUUGCUGUUUUGACGUUACCAACAGAAUAAGCACCGGCUAACUUCGUG